UCGGCCCGACUCCGAACCGAGCCGCGGGGGCACGUCAGGAGACCGAACCGACGGUCGUUCGCACGAAGCGUAGAACGCUUUUUUUUUUGUGGUGCUCCGAGGCCGAGGGGCCCGUACCCACAUGAUAUUCCGUACUCGAGAGACCGAGCGAACCGUCGUGGUUCGUCGGCCCAGACGCCGUUUCACCGGCGAACGGGGCGCGAGACACGACCGGCGCUGUUUGGCCCACCCCGCACCGCCAACCGUUGAAAGGCAGCAGCACGAGAUGGGAAUGGGACGAUGGUAGCCGGUAGAAUGCCCUCGUGAUAGGUAUACAGCACAGGAAAACCAACGUCGGACGAGCACUUGCUCGCGCCAACAACUGAAAAGACGCGGACGGGAUGCCGUCGCUG
rnacentral:misc_RNA from 1 species